CCCAGUGGUAGUCAGCUGCCUGUGGCUGCUCCGUGCCUGUGCCAGUGUUAUGCUGCUGGGAGAGAAAGGUGCUGCCGAGUCCUCCUGGCACCGCCGGCGCCGUCCUGGUGCUCGGUGGUGCUGGGCUUUGGCAGUGCUCUGCAUGCCUGAGAGUGGAGUAACUCCUGCUUGUGGAGUUAGAGCCUAGAUUGGAUGCAGACAAC